AUACAAGAGCAGACCAAAACAGACAGGGCACGCUGGGAGUCAGAGAGAAGAAAACAGUAAGUGAGGCUGUAAGAACUCUGCUGACUGGCUGCAGCUCCCAUGGAGAGUCUGCUCAGGUAUUUUGGGGAGGAUGCCUUGCCAGCCCCUGAGGAUGCUUAGGGAGGAGCUGCCACAGGCACACUGCACUCCUGUGAUAUGGAUAGAAUUUACAAACCACAAACAAAACACGAAUGGCUCUUAAGAAGCUCAGCAGUAAGAGGAGGAUGGAUGGCUGCAGUGUGCCAUCAGGAGAGGUGCAACAGCCAUCCCAAAGAGAGAUGGAUCAUCCUUCACCUGUGACGUGCCCAUGGCCACAAGGGUCCGAUCUGGCAAUAGUGGUUCCAGCUGCUGCC